AGAAGGAGCCCAGCACAGUGCCUGGAAUUCAGCAAACACUUAAUAAAGGAAGAUCCUUUAUCUGUUCAAACAGGGCAGGUUGCGGGGAGAGCUUUCAUUUCUGAGCACUGCGUGUUAGAAGAUGCACAGGAGGAUGAUGGAAAAGAGCACGUUGUUACAACUGGAAAUAAACCUCUAGAAACUGCUGGUUUGACUGUUGUACAACUGUGAGGUGCGUGGAACGGCUGGCACACCUGACUUCCACAGUUCAAUCUCAGCUUCCUGACAAGAAGUGGCAAUCCGCUUUGUGACCAGCGGCAAGCUCCGAACUAUGAAGGUCCCAUCACCUUUGCUAUCUCGCUCCCUCCCUCUUUGCUUUGGAUGCCCCAAUAUAAGCUCCCACCUACACCAAAGAACUGCUACAGGCUGAUGCCUAGCCGGUCCGUGCCCCUGAUGCAGCCUGCACUGCGUGCAGUCAUGCAGCUCCACUGAGCAAAGUGCCUUCUACACACAUGCUUUGCUGUGUAAGAAAGAGAUACGAUUAAAUGAAUUACUGAGCUAAAUAAAUAGGUAAAAAUAAAACCUUAAGUGUGGAUGGCAAUUAACACGACAUACAAAGCAACUGCUGGCAAGUUAUCACCUUUGAUUAUCACAAGAGUCCCAGCUAACUAAGAAUGGUUUAGUUAGCCUUAUUUUUGAAGCUGGGGAAUUAAGACACAGAAAAGUGAAUUACUGAGGCUUGUUAACUUAGUGGUGGUGCUAAAAACAAGUAUACUCUCGCUUCUAAUUUAGUGUCUUUCCCAUGAUUCUAUCCUGCUUCCAGAAAUGACUAAUAGCCCCUUCAUUAUCUCUCUGGCAUAUACAGUUUUGAAGACGUUUAUUAAUGACUCCAAAUGAGUUCGCCCUUCCUAGCUGGCUAUUAGAAAAAAGGAAGGACUUGAAAUUAACGAAUGUAAUAUAGAAGAAGCCUACCUAUGGCCACAUUGAAGACUGCAGAAGCUAGCUGCCUUGGCCGCUUCAAUUUAAAAAGGACGAAAGAGAUGGGAGUGAGUUUGAAGGCAGCAAGGGGGGACAUAGGGAAGGGGAGAGGACUUUCAGUCCCAAUGCCAGACCCAUUUCUGUUCGGUUCCCUCAAACCCUGGGCUGCCUUCGGGAACUGCUGCGGGUUCAGGGAAGCUGAACUGUCAAGGUGGCUGGCCCUUCCCCAGUGUUGGCGACAGGCUGCUGAAGCAUGAGGAGGAGCAGCUGACUCCUCAGCAAGCUGUCUUGGGGAGGAGGGGUGACAUUUUCAAGGUGCU